AGAGUUUGAUUCUGGCUCAGGAUGAACGCUAGCGGCAGGCUUAACACAUGCAAGUCGAGGGGCAGCGUGGAGUAGCAAUACUCUGACGGCGACCGGCGAAAGGGUGAGUAACGCGUGAGCAACAUGCCCGGGACUGGGGGAUAGUCGAUGGAAACGUCGUGUAAUACCCCGUAACACAUUGCACCGCAUGAUGCGAUGUUGAGAGAUUUAUCGAUUCCGGAUUGGCUCGCGUCCCAUUAGCUAGUUGGCGGGGUAACGGCCCACCAAGGCGACGAUGGGUAGGGGUUCUGAGAGGAAGGUCCCCCACAUUGGAACUGAGACACGGUCCAGACUCCUACGGGAGGCAGCAGUGAGGAAUAUUGGACAAUGGCCGAGAGGCUGAUCCAGCCAUGCCGCGUGCGGGAGGACGGCCCUAUGGGUUGUAAACCGCUUUUGUCAGGGGGCAAUAAGGGCCACGUGUGGCCCGAUGAGAGUACCUGGCGAAUAAGCAUCGGCUAACUCCGUGCCAGCCGCCGC
rnacentral:rRNA from 1 species